UCCACUUCAAGAAGGAAUCUCUGUUUUCCUUGCCUGUCCUCCUUUUUCAAAACUCUCUCUUUCUUUCUCUUCUAUAAAUCUCUCCAAUCCAUUGCCAGAUUCCUUUACAAUCUCUCUUUUGGCAUGUCGCCCGGGCUCCCACCUUUUUCCUCAGAUCCAUCCUCUCUCAGGAUCCUUCAAAUUCCACAACAAGUUCCAUUGAUCCCAUUCCAUGAAAUUCCUUACAUGUUAAUUUCACCAAUUUGCCUGAGAGCAACAUAUAUUGGGCUAGAAUUUGAAGCUUCCACCCAUGUUCUUCCCAUGGUUUUAAAAAACCGAUAGGCAGGAUGCGAGUCGUACGAGUCAACUCAGAUUCAGUACUACUAGUCCAAUUCAACACCACAAUUCGUCCCCUCCCAACUCGGUUGAGUUGUGACCCAACUCACCGAGUCUAAAAACCAUGGUUCUUGCACACCCAUGACUAUGAACCCCCUCACCAAUUGAAGUAUCGCUAAAAAAGCAAUAUACUCAGCCUCGGUGAAUGAAAGAGCAAUGGAUGUCUAUUUCUUACUUAUCGUCAGCAAGCAUGAAAGGUUACACGCUACCAAGAGACAAGACACCGAUGUACGGUUCAGAUCUCAUGCAUGUUUUGUCGAUGGUAAGUUAUGCAGGAUAAAUUGGUAAGUGCCAUGUUAUGAUCUGGGUAGAAAUUGUCUGAAUUAUAGAGGGUUUGAGCCUCAUGAGGAUCUUGAUUUGAUGAUCCAGACCGUUCAGAUGGUAGGCAUCACCAUGAAUAAGAGAUGCCCUCAAAUUCUAUUAGUUGGAGGGUCCUAACCCCACAAUCAUAGGCUUCUUUUAUUAAAUGUGGACCAAUGUUGUAUUAUUUUCUUUGAAGUGUAUUCAUGGUCAUCAGUCAAGGGGUUAGGAUCUUCCAGUCUAAGAGUUUUA